UACAGAGGGGGCAAGCGUUGUUCGGAAUUACUGGGCGUAAAGGGCGCGUAGGCGGCCCGCUAAGUCGAACGUGAAAUCCCCGAGCUCAACUCGGGAACUGCCUCCGAUACUGGCGGGCUUGAAUCCGGGAGAGGGAUGCGGAAUUCCAGGUGUAGCGGUGAAAUGCGUAGAUAUCUGGAGGAACACCGGUGGCGAAGGCGGCAUCCUGGACCGGCAUUGACGCUGAGGCGCGAAAGCUAGGGGAGCAAACGGG
rnacentral:rRNA from 1 species